rnacentral:rRNA from 1 species
UCAAAUUGGAAGUGUGCCUUUGGUAACCGCAUUGUAAUCUCGAGAUCUGUUUCCGCGCUGGACCAUGUACAAGUCCCUUGGAAUAGGGCGUCAUAGAGGGUGAGAAUCCCGUACUUGACAUGGCCUCCCAGUGCUUUGUGAUACAGGCUCAACGAGUCGAGUUGUUUGGGAAUGCAGCUCAAAAUGGGUGGUAAAUUCCAUCUAAAGCUAAAUAUUGGGGAGAGACCGAUAGCGAACAAGUACCGUGAGGGAAAGAUGAAAAGCACUUUGGAAAGAGAGUUAAACAGUACGUGAAAUUGUCAAAAGGGAACCGUUUAAAGUUAGUCAUGCUUGCCUGGACUCAGCCUUGCUUUUGCUUGGUGCAUUUCCAGGUUAGCAGGUCAGCAUCGGUUUUGACUGCUGGAUAAGGGUGAGAGGAAUGUGGCACCUUCGGGUGUGUUAUAGCCUUUCACUGGAUGCAGCAGUUGGGACCGAGGAACGCAGCGCGCCUUUAUGGCGGACCUUCGGGUACCUUCGCGCUUAGGAUGCUGGCAUAAUAGCUUUAAGCGACCCGUCUUAAAACGA